UUUGGGGCUAGUGAAAUAUAUUACAAUUUAAGAAUUUAGGGCUAGUGAAAAAAAAUCAACCCUAAAUGGUGAUAAUUUUCUCUAGUGUUAUACAAAGCUCUGAGAACUGGAAGAGAUUAAAUUGUUUCUUUCUUUUAUAUAUUUUUUGUUUUAAUACAGCUUGAUACUUUGAUUUCACCAACUAGGCUGAAAAUGUUAUUUCUGUUAACAAACUGGAGUUUCAAAGCAGUUUAUUUGUAUUUAAAGAUGAUGAACUUUGAUUUUUUUCCCCAAUACUAAAAGAAACCCACUCUGGUAUAAUUUACUUAUGAACUUGAAAUGCUUCUCAUACCUGUCUCAUUUUGCCUUUUAUGCUGUCUAAAAAAGUGGUUUUAGUACCCAGUUUUGAAACUAAAAAUCAAAUUUAAAGUCCAUAUUACCUUUCAUUCACAUUUUCUUUUUUUCUCUAUAUAAAUCUUUGAAAAUAUAGUAACUGGAUAUUUCUUCAAACAGAUGGCCUGGAUAAAAUGUAAAGAGGUAGUUAAAAACUCAUGGAAGGUGUUUCCAGCGAAACUUGUAGUUUCUGUGUCUUGGUUAAAUGCUCAAGGAUUAAUACAGCCCCAUUGUUCAGUGUCUUCUACUUAAAGAGAACUUUUGUAUUGUAAUUUAUUUUUUAUUGUGCCUUAAACACUAUGUAAAUAACUGUCAGUAAUAAAGCAUUACAAUUAUA